GUUAAAACACCAGUUCUCAUUCAAUCUCCAAAGUUAAGCAACCUUGAGCUUGGUCAUUACCGAGAUGGGUGACCACUUGGGAAUACCAGAUGCUGUAA